AGUGAACGCUGGCGGUAGGCCUAACACAUGCAAGUCGAACGGAAGCACAGUAAGAGCUUGCUCUUACGGGUGGCGAGUGGCGGACGGGUGAGGAAUACAUCGGAAUCUACUUUUUCGUGGGGGAUAACGUAGGGAAACUUACGCUAAUACCGCAUACGACCUACGGGUGAAAGCAGGGGAUCUUCGGACCUUGCGCGAUUGAAUGAGCCGAUGUCGGAUUAGCUAGUUGGCGGGGUAAAGGCCCACCAAGGCGACGAUCCGUAGCUGGUCUGAGAGGAUGAUCGGCCACACUGGAACUGAGACACGGUCCAGACUCCUACGGGAGGCAGCAGUGGGGAAUAUUGGACAAUGGGCGCAAGCCUGAUCCAGCCAUACCGCGUGGGUGAAGAAGGCCUUCGGGUUGUAAAGCCCUUUUGUUGGGAAAGAAAAGCAGCAGGUUAAUACCCCGCUGUUCUGACGGUACCCAAAGAAUAAGCACCGGCUAACUUCGU
rnacentral:rRNA from 1 species